rnacentral:rRNA from 1 species
GACGAACGCUGGCGGCGUGCCUAAUACAUGCAAGUUGAGCGAUGAAGAUUGGUGCUUGCACCAAUUUGAAGAGCAGCGAACGGGUGAGUAACGCGUGGGGAAUCUGCCUUUGAGCGGGGGACAACAUUUGGAAACGAAUGCUAAUACCGCAUAACAACUUUAAACAUAAGUUUUAAGUUUGAAAGAUGCAAUUGCAUCACUCAAAGAUGAUCCCGCGUUGUAUUAGCUAGUUGGUGAGGUAAAGGCUCACCAAGGCGAUGAUACAUAGCCGACCUGAGAGGGUGAUCGGCCACAUUGGGACUGAGACACGGCCCAAACUCCUACGGGAGGCAGCAGUAGGGAAUCUUCGGCAAUGGACGAAAGUCUGACCGAGCAACGCCGCGUGAGUGAAGAAGGUUUUCGGAUCGUAAAACUCUGUUGGUAGAGAAGAACGUUGAUGAGAGUGGAAAGCUCAUCAAGUGACGGUAACUACCCAGAAAGGGACGGCUAACUACGUG